GAUGAACGCUGGCGGCAGGCCUAACACAUGCAAGUCGAGGGGUAGAGGAAGCUUGCUUCCUUGAGACCGGCGCACGGGUGCGUAACGCGUAUGCAAUCUACCUUGUACAGAGGGAUAGCCCAGAGAAAUUUGGAUUAAUACCUCAUAGUAUUAUUGAAUGGCAUCAUUUAAUAAUUAAAGUUCCAACGGUACAAGAUGAGCAUGCGUCCUAUUAGCUAGUUGGUGUGGUAACGGCAUACCAAGGCUACGAUAGGUAGGGGUCCUGAGAGGGAGAUCCCCCACACUGGUACUGAGACACGGACCAGGCUCCUACGGGAGGCAGCAGUGAGGAAUAUUGGACAAUGGGCGCAAGCCUGAUCCAGCCAUGCCGCGUGCAGGAAGACGCAUCUAUGGUGUGUAAACUGCUUUUGUACGGGAAGAAACACUCCCUCGUGAGGGAGCUUGACGGUACCGUAAGAAUAAGGAUCGGCUAACUCCGUGCCAGCCGCCGCAGUAAGAC
rnacentral:rRNA from 1 species